CCUACGGGAGGCAGCGCUUAACCCAGGAAGUGCAUUUGAAACUGUCUUGCUUGAGUACGGGAGAGGGAAGAGGAAUUCCUGGUGUAGAGGUGAAAUUCGUAGAUAUCAGGAGGAACACCGGUGGCGAAGGCGACUUCCUGGCCCGAUACUGACGCUGAGACGCGAGAGCGUGGGGAGCAAACAGGAUUAGAUACCCUGGUAGUCCACGCCGUAAACGAUGUUCACUAGGUGUUGGGGGUAUUGACCCCCUCAGUGCCGGAGCUAACGCAUUAAGUGAACCGCCUGGGGAGUACGGCCGCAAGACCAAAACUCAAAGGAAUUGACGGGGGCCCGCACAAGCGGUGGAGUAUGUGGUUUAAUUCGAUGCAACGCGAAGAACCUUACCUGGGUUUGACAUCCCGGGAAUCUCCUGGAAACAGGGGAGUGCCCUUCGGGGAGCUAUGAG
rnacentral:rRNA from 1 species